rnacentral:misc_RNA from 1 species
CGUUGAAAGCACUAGUAUUGAUUCACAACAACGUAGAAGAAUUUGACCUGUAUUACUUGUAUUAUUUUCCGAAUUUGGAGUAUCUACAUCUGUCGAAUAAUCUUAUUGUCUUUUCCCCCAUAAAUGGAAAGGACGUUUCUGGCAAUAUCAGGGGUUCUUUUACGUAUAUUUUCCUACUGCUAGGGAACUUAAAGUACAUGAGAAUCGACAAUAACUUGAGAAACAAAGAUACGGGCCCUCUACAAUAUGCCUUAACGCAUUCUUUUUGGAAAAGCCUCCCGUCAUGUAAGCUUAAACAAUACGUUCCCAGGUCUUUUAAUGUAAAAGACAUGCCAUCACCAGUUUUACGAUUUUCUCUUCCUAUUAACAUUGAAUUCCUUUCGAUGAGUUGGUGGUCAAAUUUGGGCAGUAAACUUUCUGUUUCGUGCCCCUUUAAAGAAAGCGUAUAUAUUUAUCCAAAUAAGCUACGCUUUCUUAGGAUGGAAGGCGUUGGUGUAUUUUAUGAAUUGGACAAUUUGGAACAUUUCAAUGCUUCCCAUAAUAUCCUCAACUGUCUUCCAAGAGACUUUUUCAAUGGUCACUUUCCAUCGUUGAGGUCCCUAAAUCUUGGUGACAACAAACUAGGACCUUUAAUAAGUGAGGAUGGGAUACGUCCAGUAAAACUCCCAAGGUUAAAGUUUUUGGAUUUAUCACUGAAUGAGAUCAGGACCAUCCCUGAGAACUUUUUCGACCGCCUUGUCUCUCUUCAGCGACUGGUGCUGCUCGGCAAUUACCUAAAUGCAGGUUCCUUUGGUAUGAUAAAUUACAUGUCCGUGGAAGAUUUGAGCCACACCACGGAAUGGGCAUAUUCAUUAGACUAUUUGGAAACUAAGGGGGACCUAGAUUCUAGCUUAAGUAUUCAUUUGAAUAUGACGUACAAUCCUAGAGCCUGCACCUUUUACAAUGGGGAGGGAUUUCAUCGAAGGAGGGCCCGCAGCAGUACAUAUUUGAAGCAGAUUUAUCACAAGAUUUGGAAACUAAAGGGAAACCAUAUUCUAGCUUAAGUAUCCAACUGAAUAUGACAAACAAUCCUACAGACUACAACCAUUGCGAUAGGGGGGAAUUUCUUCAAUGGCUUGUUUUUUCAAAUAUUACAGUAACAUUUUCUAACGACUCUGAUUGCCCCAUGAAUGGUUCAAAAACAGGUCUGCGGUAUACACUAUAUGAACUUUGUGAGAAAUGUGAUAUUGGCUAUCAGAUAAAAAGUCCAAAUCAGUGGCUGUCUCUUGGGAUCUCCCUAACUAGUAUCCUUGGUGUGACCUGCGGUUUAAUAACAGCUUACAUAUAUCGCUGGAAUAUCAAAUAUCGACUAUAUCUACUUCGACGCCGGUUACGUAGACAAGGAUUUAUUGCAACCCCGCCUGGUCACGUGUACAUUUCAUACGAUGAUG